GUCAACAGGAAGUGGUUCCUGCACAGCCGAACAGCAGCAGCUCCCCCUCUCUAUCACGGUGGCCCUGAACUCUGAGGACAGGAAGCGGCAGCUGGAACGUCUGCGUGGCUCCUCCGUGCUACUCGUAUGUGAACGUCCCCAGCAGGGUGUCCUCCUCCACGUCGUCCUUCAGGCCCUGCAGGAGGAGAAGGUAUUUAGGAAUCCUUUGUGGACCGCCGACACGCACAUAGACCUCAAAGUCUUUGUUGGCGGAGUCUAUGCGGCCGGUGGGGGAGUCGUAGCGCGGGAGGUGGUCCAUUUGUUCCUUCAUUGUAGAUUAAUACAAAGCACAUGAGACUGUGUGUUAAACAAAC
ensembl:lncRNA